GAUGAACGCUAGCGACAGGCUUAACACAUGCAAGUCGAGGGGCAGCGAGGGCGUAGCAAUAUCCUGGCGGCGACCGGCGGAAGGGUGCGUAACGCGUGAGCGACAUGCCCGUUGCCCGGGGACAACCGGUGGAAACGCCGACUAAUCCCCGAUGGGAUAUUGUGCCGCAUGGCACGAUAUUGAAAGUUACGGCGGCGACGGAUUGGCUCGCGUCCGAUUAGCUGGUUGGCGGGGUAACGGCCCACCAAGGCUGCGAUCGGUAGGGGUUCUGAGAGGAAGGCCCCCCACAAUGGGACUGAGACACGGCCCAUACUCCUACGGGAGGCAGCAGUGAGGAAUAUUGGUCAAUGGGCGAAGCCUGAACCAGCCAUGCCGCGUGCGGGAAGAGGCCCUAUGGGCUGUGAACCGCUUUUGCCUGGGGGCAAUAAGGGCGUCGCGCAACGUCCGAUGAGAGUACCAGGCGAAUAAGCAUCGGCUAACUCCGUGCCA
rnacentral:rRNA from 1 species